GAUGAACGCUAGCGAUAGGCUUAACACAUGCAAGUCGCGGGGCAGCACAAGGUAGCUUGCUCUCUGGGUGGCGACCGGCGCACGGGUGCGUAACGCGUAUGCAACUUGCCCUAUACAGGAGGAUAACCCGUCGAAAGACGGACUAAUACUGCGUAUGCUCACAACUUGGCAUCAAGUGGUGAGGAAAGAAAUUCGGUAUAGGAUAGGCAUGCGUCCCAUUAGCUUGUUGGUGAGGUAACGGCUCACCAAGGCAACGAUGGGUAGGGGAACUGAGAGGUUUAUCCACCACACUGGUACUGAGACACGGACCAGACUCCUACGGGAGGCAGCAGUGAGGAAGAUUGGGCAAUGGGCGCGAGCCUGAACCAGCCAAGUCGCGUGAAGGAUGACUGUCUUAUGGAUUGUAAACUUCUUUUAGACGGGAAUAACAAGAGUCACGUGUGACUCCCUGCAUGUACCGUAUGAAUAAGCAUCGGCUAACUCCGUG
rnacentral:rRNA from 1 species